AUGGUCCAUCAUCUGUGUUGUCUUCUCCAGGUGAUGCUACUGACCUCCCUCCUACAGGUGUUGAUGGUAUCGAACAAUUAGGGCUUCGAGUUGGAGUCAUUGACCCAAGUGGAGUUCCCGUCCUUGAAGGUUCCUGACUAGGGCUUCACUUCUAUUUCUGAACCAGUAUCAGUUGCCUUGUGAUACUCGGGGGUAGCACUAGAACUACUAACUGGACAGACAUCAGCAUGCCUAACCAACUUUGGCUGAUACGAAGCAAAAGAUAACCUCUCUAAUAUGCUACGUGGAGCAGACAAAGCUGGAUUCACUCUCUUCAUUUUCUGCACAGGGCGACCAGAAAUUUUGGGCACAAUGACGCCCCUGGCUGCAGCAGAAUUCAUCUGGUGUACAGUCUGAUUCUGUGCUGUGCCUUUGGAGAUGUUCUGAUUAACAUUCUGCCGGUUCACGAUCCAUUUCUCAGCGUCAUUCCACUUCGAGGAAGCCUGUCUGGAGAAAUACCCCGCUGCUGGAUUCUGCGUCGCCGGCUUGUCACCUCCAUGGAACUCAAAGCUACUAGUACUAGCAUUGUCAAGCCCAUUAUGACAUUCAGCACUGUCUUCUUCCACAGGUCUCACUGGAUGUAUCAUGCUCGAGUUGCUUGUUGCUGGUUGGGGAACUGAACUCUUGGAAGUGUUCUGAACCUUAUUGACAUAUAAGGCUGAAUCCUUUCCUACAGCUUCAGUUUUGUUAAUUUCUGAAGGGUGUUUGGUGCCAUCUGAGUUGUCUGAAACUGUUGCAGAACAAGAAUGAUGUGUUUAUUGACUUAGCCAGGAAAAAAAGGGUGAUGUUCGCGAUGAUGAGUUGCUGGUGAUAACUCUUACUCGAUUGUGGGCCCCCAUAAUCUUCAUCCUUAGCUUUGUUGGAGAAAGGGCACCAGCCUGCAGGAACCUCAAGCCUGGUGGGUGUGAGUGGUCAGCGAAAGGGAGGGUGAGUACUGACUACUGAAGAGUGAGAGGGGAGGAGAACACCAGUACCAGAGGUCCAGAACAGGACUGGGAUAGCUGAGAUCUAAACAAGGCGAUGUCACGUCUCGUGUUUUUAGUCCUUCAGAGCUACUAGACUACUAGACAGGAGUCCACAGAGGUCCCUAGACUGGAGACUGGAACCCUACCACUGCACGCAAGGAGCAGCCCCUCCAUCACAAGCAGGGAGGGAUGGGCGGGGACGGCGGCGGGAGGAUGCUGCUGCCCCGCCACAUCUUUCUGUGUCAGCGUGGCGCUGCUGCCCGUGUCUGCCCCUGGGCAAAUUUUUAUUGGUCCGGUCUUGGCCUUUUCACCGGCCCAUCGGGGCAUCUCAUGUCAUCAUGCGCUCACGCGAGCCCUAUGCCCCUCUAUCCUCUCAUGUCCAGUGUCAGUGUGUCACAAGACCCGGGCCCCGUUUGGUUCCCCUAUGCUAUGAACAGAGUUUUUUUAUGUAUAGAAAAUUAAACGAAUUCUAUUUGCAAAAAAAAUUUAUAAAUUAGUGUAAUUUUGUGCGACGAAUCUAAUGCACCAGAAAAAUUUAUGAUUGACUACAGUAAUGCUACUGUAACUAUUUUCUAAGCGUGCGCUCAACGACCUCGUUAGAUUCAUCUCGCGAAGUAGCACAAAGUUGUGGAGUUAGUUUUGCAAAUUGUCUUUAUUUCUUAUUUAAUACUCUUAAUUAUUAGUUAAAAUUUGUGCUAAAUGUGCUACGGACCAAACCAAACAGAGCCCCGGUUUUGGACGCUGCCAGUGACUAUGAAAUUGAAUAUACUUUCGUCCGCUAGCCGCUUCGGCAUCUGCAAAAUUUGACCAAAGUUUGCCCUCGUGGGCAUCGUACGCAGUUGGUUUUAUACUGGCUGCUGCUGCCGUGCCAGUUGACCUCACUGGGAUUUUGUGACGACUGGCCAUGGUUCGGGCGUUCGGAUUCACCGAUUACUGGUAGCAAAAUUUGGACAUGUGAGGAACGAUUUGUUCUUCUUUGGACUCCGGAGAUUAACAUGUGAGUGAAUGAGAUCUGCAUAGCUGCAUUCGUACUGGUACGAAGCCUAGUCGAGCUCAUUGAAUUGGUGUCCGUCUAUUUGAUCUGUUGUACUGUGGCCUCAGACAUUUAUUGGCUUCAAACACUGGUCGCCUUAAACACUGUGGUCCAAUCUGGUGGCCACGGUGCUUGGCCUUGGCCGGCAUCAGGCAUCAGCAGUGGCACUCAAGAAGUAGCUUGAUGAUGAGUCGCAGACCGAGUGCGUGGUCCAUCCAUGCAUAUGUUUGAUUAGUCUAGUUAAGGGGAUGAGUCCAAAUCUCAAACUCACCUUCAAAACACAUCUGUACAUUU